rnacentral:rRNA from 1 species
GAUGAACGCUGGCGGCGUGCUUAACACAUGCAAGUCGAACGAAGCACUUUAUUUGAUUUCCUUCGGGACUGAUUAUUUUGUGACUGAGUGGCGGACGGGUGAGUAACGCGUGGGUAACCUGCCUUGUACAGGGGGAUAACAGUUGGAAACGGCUGCUAAUACCGCAUAAGCGCACGGCAUCGCAUGAUGCAGUGUGAAAAACUCCGGUGGUAUAAGAUGGACCCGCGUUGGAUUAGCUAGUUGGUGAGGUAACGGCCCACCAAGGCGACGAUCCAUAGCCGACCUGAGAGGGUGGCCGGCCACAUUGGGACUGAGACACGGCCCAAACUCCUACAGGAGGCAGCAGUGGGGAAUAUUGCACAAUGGGCGAAAGCCUGAUGCAGCGACGCCGCGUGAGCGAAGAAGUAUUUCGGUAUGUAAAGCUCUAUCAGCAGGGGAGAUA